GACCUCAGAUCAGGCAAGGCUACCCGCUGAAUUUAAGCAUAUCAAUAAGCGGAGGAAAAGAAACUAACAAGGAUCCCCCAGWACGGCGAGGAGCGGA
rnacentral:rRNA from 1 species